rnacentral:rRNA from 1 species
GUAGGUGGCAAGCGUUGUCCGGAAUUAUUGGGCGUAAAGCGCGCGCAGGCGGUUCUUUAAGUCUGAUGUGAAAGCCCACGGGCUCAACCGUGGAGGGUCAUUGGAAACUGGAGAACUUGAGUACAGAAGAGGAAAGCGGAAUUCCACGUGUAGCGGUGAAAUGCGUAGAGAUGUGGAGGAACUCCAGUGGCGAAGGCGGCUUUCUGGUCUGUAACUGACGCUGAGGCGCGAAAGCGUGGGGAGCAAACAGGAUUAGAUACCCUGGUAGUCCACGCCGUAAACGAUGAGUGCUAAGUGUUAGGGGGUUUCCGCCCCUUAGUGCUGCAGCUAACGCAUUAAGCACUCCGCCUGGGGAGUACGGCCGCAAAGGCUG